CCUACGGGAGGCAGCAGUGGGGAAUAUUGCACAAUGGGGGAAACCCUGAUGCAGCGACGCCGCGUGAGUGAAGAAGUAAUUCGUUAUGUACAGCUCUAUCAGCAGGGAAGAAAAUGACGGUACCUGAGUAAGAAGCCCCGGCUAACUACGUGCCAGCAGCCGCGGUAAUACGUAGGGGGCAAGCGUUAUCCGGAUUUACUGGGUGUAAAGGGAGCGUAGACGGCAGUGCAAGUCUGGAGUGAAAGGCGGGGGCUCAACCCCCGGACUGCUCUGGAAACUGUACGGCUGGAGGGCAGGAGAGGUAAGUGGAAUUCCUAGUGUAGCGGUGAAAGGCGUAGAUAUUAGGAGGAACACCAGUGGCGAAGGCGGCUUACUGGACUGUAACUGACGUUGAGGCUCGAAAGCGUGGGGAGCAAACAGGAUUAGAUACCCGUGUAGUC
rnacentral:rRNA from 1 species